GAUGAACGCUGGCGGCGUGCCUAAUACAUGCAAGUCGAGCGAACGGACGAGAAGCUUGCUUCUCUGAUGUUAGCGGCGGACGGGUGAGUAACACGUGGAUAACCUACCUAUAAGACUGGGAUAACUUCGGGAAACCGGAGCUAAUACCGGAUAAUAUUUUGAACCGCAUGGUUCAAAAGUGAAAGACGGUCUUGCUGUCACUUAUAGAUGGAGCCGCGCUGCAUUAGCUAGUUGGUAAGGUAACGGCUUACCAAGGCAACGAUGCAUAGCCGACCUGAGAGGGUGAUCGGCCACACUGGAACUGAGACACGGUCCAGACUCCUACGGGAGGCAGCAGUAGGGAAUCUUCCGCAAUGGGCGAAAGCCUGACGGAGCAACGCCGCGUGAGUGAUGAAGGUCUUCGGAUCGUAAAACUCUGUUAUUAGGGAAGAACAUAUGUGUAAGUAACUGUGCACAUCUUGACGGUACCUAAUCAGAAAGCCACGGCUAACUACGUG
rnacentral:rRNA from 1 species